GAUGAAGAACGCAGCGAAAUGCGAUAAGUAAUGUGAAUUGCAGAAUUCAGUGAAUCAUCGAAUCUUUGAACGCAUCUUGCGCUCCUUGGUAUUCUGAGGAGCAUGCCUGUUUGAGUGUCAUUAAAUUCUCAACUACACUGACUUUGAAUUGGUGUGGCUUGGAUUUGGGGGGAAAAUUGUUUGGGCUUUUUGUAUAGUCUGCUCCCCUGAAAUUGAUUAGCGGUACCUUUGUGGAACUGUCUACAGGUGUGAUAAUUAUCUACAUCUUAGACAUCUGCUGGAAUGCUGCUUUCUAAACCUUACUUGUAUUGACAAUCUUGACCUCAAAUCAGGUAGGACUACCCGCUGAACUUAAGCAUAUCAAUAAGCGGAGGA
rnacentral:misc_RNA from 1 species